rnacentral:rRNA from 1 species
GUUAAUAUUCCUGUACUUGGUGUUACUGCGAAGGGGGGACGGAGAAGGCUAUGUUGGCCGGGCGACGGUUGUCCCGGUUUAAGCGUGUAGGCUGGUUUUCCAGGCAAAUCCGGAAAAUCAAGGCUGAGGCGUGAUGACGAGGCACUACGGUGCUGAAGCAACAAAUGCCCUGCUUCCAGGAAAAGCCUCUAAGCAUCAGGUAACAUCAAAUCGUACCCCAAACCGACACAGGUGGUCAGGUAGAGAAUACCAAGGCGCUUGAGAGAACUCGGGUGAAGGAACUAGGCAAAAUGGUGCCGUAACUUCGGGAGAAGGCACGCUGAUACGUAGGUGAAGCGACUUGCUCGUGGAGCUGAAAUCAGUCGAAGAUACCAGCUGGCUGCAACUGUUUAUUAAAAACACAGCACUGUGCAAACACGAAAGUGGACGUAUACGGUGUGACGCCUGCCCGGUGCCGGAAGGUUAAUUGAUGGGGUUAGCCGCAAGGCGAAGCUCUUGAUCGAAGCCCCGGUAAACGGCGGCCGUAACAAUAACGGUCCUAAGGUAGCGAAAUUCCUUGUCGGGUAAGUUCCGACCUGCACGAAUGGCGUAAUGAUGGCCAGGCUGUCUCCACCCGAGACUCAGUGAAAUUGAACUCGCUGAGAAGAUGCAGUGUACCCGCGGCAAGACGGAAAGACCCCGUGAACCUUUACUAUAGCUUGACACUGAACAUUGAGCCUUGAUGUGUAGGAUAGGUGGGAGGCUUUGAAGUGUGGACGCCAGUCUGCAUGGAGCCGACCUUGAAAUACCACCCUUUAAUGUUUGAUGUUCUAACGUUGACCCGUAAUCCGGGUUGCGGACAGUGUCUGGUGGGUAGUUUGACUGGGGCGGUCUCCUCCUAAAGAGUAACGGAGGAGCACGAAGGUUGGCUAAUCCUGGUCGGACAUCAGGAGGUUAGUGCAAUGGCAUAAGCCAGCUUGACUGCGAGCGUGACGGCGCGAGCAGGUGCGAAAGCAGGUCAUAGUGAUCCGGUGGUUCUGAAUGGAAGGGCCAUCGCUCAACGGAUAAAAGGUACUCCGGGGAUAACAGGCUGAUACCGCCCAAGAGUUCAUAUCGACGGCGGUGUUUGGCACCUCGAUGUCGGCUCAUCACAUCCUGGGGCUGAAGUAGGUCCCAAGGGUAUGGCUGUUCGCCAUUUAAAGUGGUACGCGAGCUGGGUUUAGAACGUCGUGAGACAGUUCGGUCCCUAUCUGCCGUGGGCGCUGGAGAACUGAGGGGGGCUGCUCCUAGUACGAGAGGACCGGAGUGGACGCAUCACUGGUGUUCGGGUUGUCAUGCCGAUGGCACUGCCCGGUAGCUAAAUGCGGAAGAGAUAAGUGCUGAAAGCAUCUAAGCACGAAACUUGCCCCGAGAUGAGUUCUCCCUGACUCCUUGAGAGUCCUGAAGGAACGUUGAAGACGACGACGUUGAUAGGCCGGGUGUGUAAGCGCAGCGAUGCGUUGAGCUAACCGGUACUAAUGAACCGUGAGGCUUAACCUU